AGAACGAACGCUGGCGGCAUGCCUAAUACAUGCAAGUCGAACGAACACUUCGGUGUUAGUGGCGCACGGGUGCGUAACGCGUGGGAAUCUGCCCUUGGGUUCGGAAUAACAGUUGGAAACGACUGCUAAUACCGGAUGAUAUCGAAAGUCCAAAGAUUUAUCGCCCAGGGAUGAGCCCGCGUAGGAUUAGCUAGUUGGUGAGGUAAAGGCUCACCAAGGCGACGAUCCUUAGCUGGUCUGAGAGGAUGAUCAGCCACACGUGGGACUGAGACACGGCCCAGACUCCGUACGGGAGGCAG
rnacentral:rRNA from 1 species